UUGUAUUUGUAGUAGAAACAGGGUUUCACCAUGUUGGCCAGGCUGGUCUCGAACUCCUGGCCUCAGAUGAUCUAUCCACCUCAACCUCCCAAAAUGCUGGGAUUACAGGCGUGAGCCACUGCGCCCGGCCAGCCUUUGGUUUUUCUAUGGCUUACUUGGAGUUCUCUUUAAUUCUGACAUAGAAGUUCGCACAAUCCCUCUUUUACAGAUGAAGAAACCAAGGCUUUGUGACUAACUCAACCCCUCAAGAAGGACAAAACUAGCAUCAGAGCCCCUUGCUCCUGGGUCUGGCAAGAAUGCCUCUUGUUUGCUGAGAGGUCCACAGAUUUACCCGGCUCAAGACUGGGAGAUGGGAGGUGACCAGGUCAGUGCCAGCCUCUCUCUGAGCUCCUCUGAGUCGUGGCAGCUGAGGUGCUCCUCCGAGAAUGUUCUGCCAUCCGUGAGGUCGUGUACGCCUGGAAGCUUUUGUUCCAUUGAACUCUGCCAGGGAGCUAUACUUAGCCACGCGAGUGGAGGCCAGGAGUGGGUUCUCUGAAUAUAGAUAGUAGCAAGCAGGCUAUUUUCAAACACCUAGAGAACCCCCAUGAUUAUUCUGGGCCAAAAUGAUAUUUAUAGGAUGCUCUGGGCCCUUGGACAUGAAGGCAAUAACCUUAGCGCCUUUUGGCGUUCGGGAUAAGUUUCUAUCAACGGGGAGUGGAGAGAGGGACCCGGUCACCCAGAGGCCCGCUGUCCCUCAACACCUGUUUCCAGGAGGCCAGGCGUCUUCUUUGCUUUUACACUAUGAGUCAGAGAACAGCGAGAGGCACGCAGGGCCCUACUAAUUUUCCUUCCUGCACACCCUGGUGUGGGUCCUGUCUGAGGCCUGCCGUGUGCUAUUAGGGAAGACGUCAUCAGGGGACUUUUUCUGCUGUGAGGAGGGUGCAGCCCCUGCCUUUCAGAGCUCAGGACACCCUCUUCCUCUUGUCCAGGAUCCUCAGGGAUUUCCUAGGCUUCCACCCUCACCCAGACAUCACUGGACCGUCACUGAAACACCCGCUUCCAGUGUGCUCAGGUCCUGCAGCCUCCUGUCCAUCCUUGCCCCGCCUCCCGCCCGGAGGAAAGACUCUGACACUGCCCCUGGAAGAGGGAGGAGAGUGGAUGUGAUGAGUGAAGAUUUGGGUGGGGAAAGGAAGGCCUGAGUCCUGGGAGGAAGAGCUCUCCCCGCCCCGAGCCCCCGGAGACUGUGAGCAAGGCUGAGACGCCUCCUUCCUGGUGCUCAAGCUGCAGGUGUUGGAUAGGCCUCCAGAAGCCCAGAUUUUAAAUGACCGCUCCAGGUUAACCUGGGGAUGGUCAGGCAGAACAAGGAGGAGAGGCCAGCAGUGAAGGGCAGGGCUGGUGGGCAGUGGCUGGGGGUGUCCUGGGUGGGGCUGGCCACCCUCGCUGCCUCUGACUUGGGCCAGACCUGCGUUAAGUGGAGUGGCUCCUCCAUUCUUUACACCCCAGGCCCCUGGCAGGUGCCCUGCCUUUCCUCUGCCCCUCUCUCUGCCAACCCAUCCUCUCCCUCCCAGCCCCUGCCCGCCCAGAUAUAAAUAUAAGAGCAUUUUCCAUGGGCUGAGACAGAAGGGAAAACAUUCAGCUUUAUUUUCGGCUUGUGAAAUUCCUGUCCUUCAUUCCCAACAGGUGCAAUCGCCUCAUUUAGAUAUUGGGACCCAGAAAUAGAAGACAAUUUACAAUAUAGCUUCCUUUAGGGAUCUGGAUGCUACCAAACAAACAAACAAACAAAAAAAGCCCUCCUGUGAGAUGCCGAGACUUAAUAGAAACCGUGGUUGGAGCUCUUGCCUUUUUCCAGGCCGGUGGAGACCCUCACCCCUGGCAGCCUGACCGUGAAGCAGAGGAGGCAAGAGCUCCGGGAGACAGUCGGGAGGGAGGGGGCCCUGGAGGACAGGCUCCUAGCCCUACUCCUCCUCAAGACCCGGGUGCUGGCCUGUCCCCUGCCUUUGCCCCGAUGGGGAUGAGGGAGAGGAGAUGGGUCAGGGAACAGCUAUGGCCAUUGGGGAAGGUGACUUGGAUGCAACCUUUGAAAGAGAUGCUUCCAGUAAACCCCAUCGGUUAAGAUC
rnacentral:lncRNA from 10 species